rnacentral:lncRNA from 1 species
AUGCAACAAACAUUUACUAAAAGCCUACUCUGUGGUCCUCGCCCUCAAGGAGCACCAGCACCUGGGAAGGGAUGGAAAUGUGACCUUCCCCACCUACAGGUCUGCAUCCUCUUACCUAGUCUCACUCGAGGAGCUUCCCUCCAAGGCAGAGCCUCCCCAGGGACAUUUAGCAAGGGCAGAGGCAAGAGAAGGAUCAAUCCUGAGAGCCAAUACCAGUUCCUGAGGAGAAAAGAGGCUCAAGAUCCCAUUCCACCUGACUGUGAAAAAUGAGCACAAAAUCAGGAGGGCAGAGCCAACAGGAACCAGGCCAGAAACGCUUGAGGACGCCGCAUCUAUGGAAACAGGCGGCUGGCCUUCCACAGUAACUGCUCAGAGGGGACAGGACACUUGGGGACUUGCCAGGUGCUUGUCCCAAAGUAGGGCUGCCCCGUGUAAGGCUCAGAGCCACAGGACGGCCAGCCUGGCUCCCAGAAAUGCAGCCCCUCCUCUGAACUCUGACACCUUGCUGGCCACUCUGCCAUCCCCGACUGUCCUGGACAGAAGGAGCACAGGGACAGGUGGACGGGGGUGAUCACUGGAAGAGAAAUCACAGGUGAUUUCUCCCUCCAUGAGUGCAAGUCUAACUUGAAUUUCCUACCUUUUCUUCAAGAAACAUGCAGAACUUUUGAGUGCUUAAACUUCUUGAAAACAAGUAAGUUGGCGGGGGAAAUGCAUUUCACAUGGGUGCCUUUACAGAGGAAAAGUGCGAUUUAGCCCGCUUUCCAAACCAUUAAACAAGGGCAAAAAAAGAGUGCAGACUGAAGGAAGAACAGCUGCCAUUCUUCGGCUGGUGGUGGAUUCUCUGACAUUUUCUGAACAAGUGCUUCCCUCCCACCUGCGGCAGACCUGGACUGCCUGAGAACAGUCACACCACACGGGCGCUCAGAGAACUAAAACUGGGAUGUGAUCUGAGAGUGUGUUACUGCAAAGCAUUUCCCCAGGGCUCGGUGUAGGCUUCCUAGGGACGGCAAAAGGUCUUUUAUCAGCCGGUGCCUUGGCUGUGUCAAUGGGAGAGGAUGUUUUGUUCGCCUGCAGGACUCUACUCUGUAACUGGGGUAGGCAUACUUCCCAAGAACACAAAACCUCAGGAUAAUAAAAAUAAUAGCACCAUUACUAUUACCUGGAAC